UACGGAGGGUGCGAGCGUUGUCCGGAAUCACUGGGCGUAAAGGGCGCGUAGGUGGCGCGGGAAGUCAACGGUGAAAGUUCGGGGCUCAACCCUGAAUCGGCCGUCGAUACUCCCGGGCUCGAGCACUGUAGAGGCAGAUGGAAUUCCGGGUGUAGCGGUGGAAUGCGUAGAGAUCCGGAAGAACACCGGUGGCGAAGGCGGCCUGCUGGGACAUUGCUGACGCUGGAGGCGCGACAGCGUGGGGAGCAACAGGA
rnacentral:rRNA from 1 species